rnacentral:rRNA from 1 species
AUUGAACGCUGGCGGCAUGCCUUACACAUGCAAGUCGAACGGUAACAGGUCUUUCGGGAUGCUGACGAGUGGCGAACGGGUGAGUAACACAUCGGAACGUGCCUAGUAGUGGGGGAUAACUACUCGAAAGAGUGGCUAAUACCGCAUGACAUCUAUGGAUAAAAGCAGGGGACCUUAGGGCCUUGUGCUACUAGAGCGGCCGAUGGCAGAUUAGGUAGUUGGUGGGAUAAAAGCUUACCAAGCCAACGAUCUGUAGCUGGUCUGAGAGGACGAUCAGCCACACUGGGACUGAGACACGGCCCAGACUCCUACGGGAGGCAGCAGUGGGGAAUUUUGGACAAUGGGGGAAACCCUGAUCCAGCAAUGCCGCGUGCAGGAUGAAGGCCUUCGGGUUGUAAACUGCUUUUGUACGGAACGAAAAGCUCUGGGUUAAUACCCUGGAGUCAUGACGGUACCGUAAGAAUAAGCACCGGCUAACUACGUG